AGAGAAUAGAUACCCGGGUAGUCCUUGCCGUAAACGAUGCAUACUAGAUGUAGUUGGGCUCAAACCCCGACUGUGUCGUAGCUAACGCGAUAAGUAUGCCGCCUGAGGAGUACACUCGCAAGGUGAAACUCAAAAGAAUUGACGGGGGCUCGCACAAGCAGUGGAGCAUGUGGUUUAAUUCGAUGCAACGCGAAGAACCUUACCUAGAUUUGACAUGUAGUGGAAGAUUCAUUGAAAGGUGAAUCGCUCUUCGGAGCUGCUACACAGGUGCUGCAUGGCUGUCGUCAGCUCGUGCUGUGAGGUGUUGGGUUAAGUCCCGCAACGAGCGCAACCCUUAUCGUUAGUUGCCAACACGUAAAGGUGGAACUCUAACGAGACUGCCCGGGUUAACCGGGAGGAAGGUGAGGAUGAUGUCAAGUCCGCAUGGCCUUUAUAUCUAGGGCUACACACGUGCUACAAUGGUCGUACAGAAGGCAGCAAGACCGCAAGGUGGAGCAAAUCCUAAAAAG
rnacentral:rRNA from 1 species